UACGUAGGGGGCAAGCGUUAUCCGGAUUUACUGGGUGUAAAGGGAGCGUAGACGGCCAUGCAAGUCUGAUGUGAAAACCCGGGGCUCAACCCCGGGACUGCAUUGGAAACUGUGCGGCUGGAGUGUCGGAGAGGCAAGUGGAAUUCCUAGUGUAGCGGUGAAAUGCGUAGAUAUUAGGAGGAACACCAGUGGCGAAGGCGGCUUGCUGGACGACGACUGACGUUGAGGCUCGAAAGCGUGGGGAGCAAACA
rnacentral:rRNA from 1 species